rnacentral:lncRNA from 1 species
AACACCCACAAACAACGUCACGACGCAACGUGGUUAAACAGUACGUUUAUUAAAGUAACUGGGUGAACGACAUCGGAGCGGACUGCAAAUCGCAACGCUACUUUCUCGAGUGCAGAUACUCUUCGAGACGGCUAAACAACGUGUCCAACUCGCUGAGACCUUUCCGCGUGCCGUUAUCCGAUUUCCUUUCCGCCUCCUGAGACAGCCGACUAAUCACGGACUUAUCUCCGCAACCUAACAGAGGCUGGGAGCCCGACAAAAGUAAAACAGCGUGCUAUGAACACGUUGUUACCUCUGCGCGGACAGCGCCGCCACAGAGACACUUACGCAUUGCCGCAUGUCUUUGUAGAUGGAUUCUAGCGUCGAGCGCAUACUAUGCAAUUCCGUCUUAAGUCCAGGAUAGACGUGGUCGCCUGCGGGGAACACGAUCUCCAGAUACCGCCUCAACAACCAGUCCAUGACGCUGCAUCCCCAACAGCCUUUGACCACCGUACCGUCGAGCCACACGGAGUAGUCGUCCUCACGUUGCUACAAGAGGAAAACUACGUCACCCGACACGCGGAAAAGAAAGACCGUCGCAAUAAACCGUACCUACGUGACCUACCAACGUAGGUUUUACUCGAUGAAAGGUGACGCGGAGAUCUUGCAAUCUGGUCGCGUAAUCCUCCGGACGACACUGCGGCUUUGUAUUCUUUAUCGUCGUCGUCGUCGUCGCCGCCGGCUUCGCCUCCUCGGAAGCGCCUAGAAAAAAGACGAUCAGGACCAGAGAGGAAGAGACCAUCACCGACAGCAUCGCCGCAGCAUGCCGCCCCAAUCCGCCGCCCAACUGCGCGUCCCAGAUACCACUCGUAGACUGUCAGCCUCGCGAGGAGACACCGCGGACCGGGGAAACGGAUAAGUUUACGAACAGAAAUCUCAAGAGAAAGACGCUGACCCGGCAAGUACCGUCACGGAGACACGGUGGUUUUUAUUGAAUUUCCAGUGUAUCGAGCCACCGUGAUGCAGGUACGGUGGUUUUAUGUGAAGUGCCGCUAUCUAUGGGCGAUGUGUUCCCUGACGGUGUGUGUUUUUUGGGGAUAGACAACGUGGUUCUUGUACGUGGUUUUUACCCUGCUCAAUAAAGUCACGUUUUCCUUACACGGUGUUGUGUC